AUAUCUUAAAAAAGAAAAAAAAAGAAAAAAAAAAAAGAGUACCUUUUUGAGCAAUGUGAGGAUUACAUGAGAUAAUCCAUAGAAACUGUUUUGCUUGGUGCAGAGUAAACAUCAAGUGUUUCUUUCCGUUAGUUUUAAAGGAGUUUUAUUUAUUCAGCCUGCUAAGUGCCUUCUGCACUUCUGGCCCUGGAGGAGAGAGAGUGACAAAUAGAAUUGUGUCCCAGGCCUCUCAAAGCUUUCAAACUGGGGAGGAGAAACUAGUCUUUUAGAGUACAUUUCCAGAGAGAAGGGUGUGCUGUGAAAUGAUCUAUUUCACAACAGACUAAUUUUACAGGUGAGAAAACAAGCUCAGAGAGGUUCAGUGAUUUGCCUCAGGGCACACAGCUAGUUUCUUAGAGGAACCUAACUGGAGUUAGAAUUCUCCAGGGAAGGAGUUUCUCCAGUGGAUCUUGCCUGCCAUGGUUUUCCAGAUUCCAGGAUCAAGGUAAGAACAGAAACAUGUGAGAAGAUGAGGGAAGAUGGCUGCAUGUUUCUCGGCUCCACAGGGAAACGUUGAGCAGUGGAAUUCAAUCAACGGGUUUGGGUUAGGUGCCCUUCCCCUACCCUAGUCCAACCUCCAGCAAGGAAACCAAGGCUGAUCCCAGCCCUGGGCUUUUUUUCUCCUGGGAAGGUCCUCGUUGGGUAUGGACAGGCUCGGAGGUGACCCGCCCAGAGGUGGGAGAUCUAGCUGUACCUUUCUAGGACUCACAGACCUUCAGCUUCACUUUGCAGGAGUUUGUUAGGAAUGAACUAGACACACCCCCUCCUCCCAGCUCUGUCCGGCCUCCUGCAAGCCUGAACUCCUAGAAUAAUUAACCACUCACUGCAGGAUCCUGGCCUUUGCCAGGGCCUGCCCCACCCACCCUGUGUGUUUGAGGCAGGAGCUUGCAACACUGAGCAACAAGAAUGAUGAAAUUUUUAUCCACUUGGCAAAUAUUUGCUUGGCGCCCCCUCUGUGUCAGGAACAGUUGGAAAUGCGUUUCCCAACCUUGCCUAACCAGGUGCGCUGGAAUGUUUUCCACUUCCUGGGUCAUUGCCUCCAGGGAUCAAAGCCCCCAUCCACACAGUGGGCUGAAUAUGGAUCUAUGCAGUGAUCUGGUCCUGGCGCUGUGGAAUCAGCUUUGCACCAGGCCCCAGAAGGUCUGCGUUCCAGAGCCUUCCUGUUGGGGCCUCAGUCUUCUCAUCUGAAAAACGGGAGCAAACUCAGUUCUGCCAUGCCCAGCGUGGGUGUGAUGUCACAUCAGUGCAGGAUGACGCUGUUCUCUGAAGUUUCUUUAUCUACCUAGAAACUGGACCUGCCAAAGGAGAACACAAUGACCUUUUCUGGAAUAUCAUUAGCCAGAGGUUAAAACUCAUAUCCCAGAGGAUAUGACACUGAACAUUAAACACCACACCUAGAGCCCAAACUUCAUCCCAAACUAUUAUCUGCUCUCUUUCCCAUUCAAGGUCCAAAGACAUUAUUAAUUAUCGUCUAGACAUUGGACUCAUUUGUUUCCCCCUAAAAACCAUUGACUGUCCUUCAAAUCGCCACGUGUCCCCCAUCUCUCCUUCCCCCAUGAAGAAGGGCGUAUGUACCUGUACCCCACUGGGUUAUAGGGUAACCAUUCUGUGAUGCCCUCAUGCUCUGCACGUUGAAAUAAAUUUUGCCUUUUCUCCAA